AGUCUGGUGCCAGCAGCCGCGGUAAUUCCAGCUCCGAUAGCGUAUAUUAAAGUUGUUGCAGUUAAAAAGCUCGUAGUUGGAUCUCAGGAUUUGGAUGGAUGGUUCGCUUUCGGGCGCUACUAUCUGUCUGACCUACUCUAGUCGUGGAUGCCUUGGGUGCUCUUAAUUGAGUGCUUUUGGUGCCCGACGCAAUUACUUUGAAAAAAUUAGAGUGCUCAAAGCAGGCGUAUUGCCUGAAUAGUGUUGCAUGGAAUAAUGAAAUAGGAGUUUACUUCUAUUUUGUUGGUUUUCGGAGGUGAACUAAUGAUUAACAGGGACAGACGGGGGCAUUUGUAUGGAGGGGUUAGAGGUGAAAUUCUUGGAUCCUCUCCAGACAAACUACUGCGAAAGCAUUUGCCAGGAAUGUUUUCACUAAUCAAGAACGAAAGUCAGAGGUUCGAAGACGAUCAGAUACCGUCCUAGUUCUGACCAUAAAUGAUGCCAUCUAACAAUCCACGAAGUUUGCUUGUACGAACUCGUGGGCGGUCCCCGGGAAACCAAAGAUUUUGGGUUCCGGGGGAAGUAUGGUUGCAAAGCUGAAACUUAAAGGAAUUGACGGAAGGGCACCACCAGGAGUGGAGCCUGCGGCUUAAUUUGACCCAACACGGGAAACCUCACCCGGCCCGGACACUUUUAGGAUUGACAGAUUGAAGGCUCUUUCUUGAUCAAGUGGUUGGUGGUGCAUGGCCGUUCUUAGUUGGUGGAGCGAUUUGUCUGGUUAAUUCCGAUAACGAACGAGACUCUACUCUGCUAAAUAGAACGUUGAUAUAUAAAAGUCAGUGCUGACUUCUUAGAGAGACUAACGGCGUUUAGCCGUGUGAGAAAGAGCAAUAACAGGUCUGUGAUGCCCUUAGAUGUCCGGGGCCGCACGCGCGCUACACUGACUGCAGCAACUAGUAUGCUCCUGGUUUGAAAAAACUGGGUAACCUGGUUGAAUUGCAGGCGUGACAGGGGUCAGAGUUUGCAAUUAUCCUCUGUGAACGAGGAAUUCCCAGUAAGCGCAAGUCAUUAGCUUGUGCUGAUUACGUCCCUGCCCUUUGUACACACCGCCCGUCGCUACUACCGAUUGAAUGGUUUAGUGAGGUCUUCGGAUUGGUGCUGAUGGAGUGGUUCUCUGCUCUGUUAGUGCCGAGAAGAUGAUCAAACUUGAUCAUUUAGAGGAAGUAAAAGUCGUAACAAGGU
rnacentral:rRNA from 1 species